ensembl:lncRNA
AAAUCCCUUAUCUCGACAGGUUCUCUUUCAUUUCCAGGUGGCCUGUUCCAGAGCUUGGAACCUGUGUUUGUUCUCCCCCAAGCUCCCAUCCCUGCGGGCUUCUUCCCUGGGAAGGUGGCCUGGGACCAGGCCAAGGAUCUAUGGAAAAUUGCAGCUAAGCUUGCAUAAGUAAACCUUGGAAGAGGGGAGGCUAAGGAAUGCCCAGAAUGGAAGGAUGCUGUGGCCUGCCCUGAGCUUUCCAGCCUGCCGAGCUAUGAGCCUUCAAGAAGGCUUUGGUGACAGUACGAAUGGGCAGCAAAAUGCCAAAUGCAAGUGGCCAGAGGAAGAGCAGCAACCUGGACAUUCAACUUCUGGAAAAAUGAAAAUUCACUAGAGUCUCCUCUCAUUUCAGAGAGCAGAAGCUGCCUGGUUUCUAAACUUGGAAGUUCUGAGUCUCAAAUGCCAGGUAUCAGGUAAGAGAUGGGUGUUUCUGUGGCAACUCAGAGUUUUGUGUAAGGGGAAUGGUUUUUAUGGAGCUGUGAAG